rnacentral:rRNA from 1 species
UAAGGAAUAUUGGUCAAUGGAGGCAACUCUGAACCAGCCAUGCCGCGUGCAGGAAGAAGGCCCUAUGGGUCGUAAACUGCUUUUGAACAAGAGAAAACCCCGGUACGUGUACUGGGUUGAUAGUAUUGUUAGAAUAAGCAUCGGCUAACUUCGUGCCAGCAGCCGCGGUAAGACGAAGGAUGCAAGCGUUAUCCGGAUUCAUUGGGUUUAAAGGGUGCGUAGGCGGACUGAUAAGUCAGUGGUGAAAUCUCUCGGCUUAACCGAGAAACUGCCAUUGAUACUGUUAGUCUAGAGUACAGAUGAUGUGGCGGAAUAUGACAUGUAGUGGUGAAAUACUUAGAUAUGUCAUAGAACACCGAUUGCGAAGGCAGCUCACAAAACUGUAACUGACGCUGAGGCACGAAAGUGCGGGGAUCAAACAGGAUUAGAUACCCACGUAGUCCCUGAGCGGGCUGGCAAGGCGCAU